rnacentral:rRNA from 1 species
UACGGAGGGUGCAAGCAUUGAUCGGAAUUACUGGGCGUAAAGGGCGCGUAGGCGGUUCAAUAAGUCAGAUGUGAAAUUCCGGGGCUCAACCCCGGGGCUGCAUUUGAAACUAUCGAACUAGAGUUCAGUUAGGGUAAACGGAAUUCCACGUGUAGCGGUGAAAUGCGUAGAUAUGUGGAAGAACACCGGUGGUGAAGACGGUUUACUGGGCUGAUACUGACGCUGAGGCGCGACAGCGUGGGGAUCAAACAGG